rnacentral:rRNA from 1 species
GACGAACGCUGGCUUCGUGCUUAACACAUGCAAGUCGAACGGAAAGGCCCUGCUUUUGUGGGGUGCUCGAGUGGCGAACGGGUGAGUAACACGUGAGUAACCUGCCCUUGACUUUGGGAUAACUUCAGGAAACUGGGGCUAAUACCGGAUAGGAGCUCCUGCUGCAUGGUGGGGGUUGGAAAGUUUCGGCGGUUGGGGAUGGACUCGCGGCUUAUCAGCUUGUUGGUGGGGUAGUGGCUUACCAAGGCUUUGACGGGUAGCCGGCCUGAGAGGGUGACCGGCCACAUUGGGACUGAGAUACGGCCCAGACUCCUACGGGAGGCAGCAGUGGGGAAUAUUGCACAAUGGGCGGAAGCCUGAUGCAGCAACGCCGCGUGCGGGAUGACGGCCUUCGGGUUGUAAACCGCUUUCGCCUGUGACGAAGCGUGAGUGACGGUAAUGGGUAAAGAAGCACCGGCUAACUACGUGCCAGCAGCCGCGGUGAUACGUAGGGUGCGAGCGUUGUCCGGAUUUAUUGGGCGUAAAGGGCUCGCAGGUGGUUGAUCGCGUCGGAAGUGUAAUCUUGGGGCUUAACCCUGAGCGUGCUUUCGAUACGGGUUGACUUGAGGAAGGUAGGGGAGAAUGGAAUUCCUGGUGGAGCGGUGGAAUGCGCAGAUAUCAGGAGGAACACCAGUGGCGAAGGCGGUUCUCUGGGCCUUUCCUGACGCUGAGGAGCGAAAGCGUGGGGAGCGAACAGGCUUAGAUACCCUGGUAGUCCACGCUGUAAACGGUGGGUACUAGGUGUGGGGUCCAUUCCACGGGUUCCGUGCCGUAGCUAACGCUUUAAGUACCCCGCCUGGGGAGUACGGCCGCAAGGCUAAAACUCAAAGGAAUUGACGGGGCCCCGCACAAGCGGCGGAGCAUGCGGAUUAAUUCGAUGCAACGCGUAGAACCUUACCUGGGUUUGACAUGGAUCGGGAGCGCUCAGAGAUGGGUGUGCCUCUUUUGGGGUCGGUUCACAGGUGGUGCGUGGCUGUCGUCAGCUCGUGUCGUGAGAUGUUGGGUUAAGUCCCGCAACGAGCGCAACCCUUGUUCACUGUUGCCAGCACGUUAUGGUGGGGACUCAGUGGAGACCGCCGGGGUCAACUCGGAGGAAGGUGGGGAUGACGUCAAGUCAUCAUGCCCCUUAUGUCCAGGGCUUCACGCAUGCUACAAUGGCUGGUACAGAGAGUGGCGAGCCUGUGAGGGUGAGCGAAUCUCGGAAAGCCGGUCUCAGUUCGGAUUGGGGUCUGCAACUCGACCUCAUGAAGUCGGAGUCGCUAGUAAUCGCAGAUCAGCAACGCUGCGGUGAAUACGUUCCCGGG